GGCAGGAGGGGCACGGAAGCACUGCAGGGUCCUGCCUGCAAGCUCUGCCAGGACCGGCAGUGGGACUGGGUGAGACGUCCCUGUGCAGCGUCACUUCUAGUCUCAGAAACGUCCCGGAGAAAGACCAGCUCCUGUACCAAGAAACCAUUUCACCAGCCCGGCCAGCGCGGCUGCAACCCCAGCUGGACGGACAAUCACCUUCUCCAGGUGUCCACAUGAGAGAAAAACAGACGUUACUGCUUCCGUUGAAACGAAUACUGCUGUUUCUCUGAAAAACAGAAUGAAACCGCUUACAGUUUGACCGCCUUCUUGUUCUGGUUGAUGCCCAGCUUGGUCGACUUGAAGGACUCCAGGCGCUUCCUCAUGGUUCUGUUGAAGAUCUCCUUGUCUUGCUUCUCAUCUUCAUCCUGAGUUAACUCGUGUCGACUGUAGAGAUGUUUGUACUGGGGAAGGGGGAGGUGACAGGGACAGGUGGUGACCUGCAGAGCUGGAGGCACCUAACCGCACCGUGGAGGGCAGCCCCAUGGCAGGCUCCCUGUGAAGUUGGCCUGACAGACCCCCAGGACUCCAGAGCCCGGGACCACCUGGCUGGUAGGCUGAGCCCUAACCCUCCAACCUGAGCAGUGUCUGCCCUAAAGACAAGGAUUUCUCCCUUUGCUCAGCGAGAAGAGAGGAGGACCUGUGCCCCCACCCAAGGCUCUCUCUCUGGUCAGGAUCCCGAAGGGCUCUGGACAGGAGCCCCCACUCGCUGGCAAGCCCACCUCCUGCCGGGGCUUGUACAGGUACUGCUGCAGCG